GGACCGGCACCGCGCGUGCGUAGAGCUGUCAGCCGCACCCAGGCCGCGCUUCUAGCAAAGUUGCAAAGCAACGGGCAGACCUGUCAGAACGGUGAAGAUCCCGGCGAUGGAAAAAAGGCGAAACUGCUCCGCGUAGGCUGCUCGGAGUGGCAUCGCACCUUGUUCGAGUCCGAAGAAGUUCCCGCUUCUCUAAGCCGGCUGAAGGGAUGCGAGUCUCCUCUUGUCCCAACGGGACUGUGUCCUGACACAGAGUGGACUCCGCCCCAAGAGUGCGAGCGUCCUGAGCGUUCAGGGCAUCCUGAGCCGCGGAAGGCAUCCGGCCACACCCCGCUCUUUACCCGCCAACGCCAGCCCAGGUGGCCAGGCUCAGAAUGGACUGUGAGCCUGUGUGUUAUGCAUCUCUGGUUGUAGAGACAAAAGGACAAAGAUGGAACCCACCAAGGAUGCUCCCGGCUGAAUGAAUUGUUGUUCUCUGGCUUACACAAAGUCAAGCGAAUGAUCGUCCCAUGUUAUGUAAUAUAGCAACGGCCUGCUUACCUUACUCCUUUAAUCUACGUUAUUCUGGAAAGUAACACUUGAAAUAAAAAGUAGAUACAUUCUACUGGGAAUGUGACCCUCAGAGAAGGAAAGAAAGACCGAGGGGUUGAACCUGAACACGUGAAAGAGAAUCCAAGGGAACCUGCUUGGUACUGCCACAUCAGAGAAGCCUCGGGUAAGGAGACUGGAUGCUUGGAAUCAUGGAUACUCAGAGCACUGUUAACAAAGAGCAGAGUCCAGUCUUCCAGAGUCAUGACCUGAAUCCAAAGUUGAAAAGAUCUGAGCAGUGUAUAAACAGCCUGUCAUAACCUGCAUAAUACAUUUUUAGUCCUGAAUAAAUCUAUUCACACUUCUUUCUAUAAUCAUACUUAUGUAGAUAAGGUUGGCAGGAGGAAGGUGAAGUAUAUUUGAAGGUAUAUGUUUAUAACAGCUUUAACCUCAAGUCAUGUUUAUUUAUAAGAGAAAACGACAGUGGAAUUUGGAAAAUUAAGAAAUGAUUCUUACCAGACAGUGGUGGCACACACCUUGAAUCCAGCACUUGGGAGAUGGAGGCAGGUAGUUCUCCAAUUUUGAGGACAGUCCAGUCUACAGAGUGCGUCAGAGGACAAUCACAGGACCACGUAGAGGAAUUUUAUCUCGAAAGAUUGAAAAAGUAAAGCCUGAUUCUACUCAAAAUGUUUGAGCAGUAGGGAGAGUGUCAGAUAUCUGGUCUCACACAGUCUCAUGAACAGCUGCUUUGGGGGAAGGGCCGAAGGAAGAAAACUCUCGUGUGAGCUUUAUAAAUUCUCGCCAUAGACUUUCCCUAAGAGACUCUUUCCUGUUCUCGUGAUGCACUAAUGACAGAAAUCAUAUGACUAAUGGAGAGAAACUGGUAGAUAUACAAGAAGAACUGCAUUGGGAUAACCGCCAUCUUACAAAGGGUCAGUGUUAACAUUUGUCAAUGUAUCCUGUGAUGAGUCAUUCAACUUGGUACAUGUUGAGUUCUAUAGAGUACAUGACACUCUUAUGCCUGUGAGCAAGCCAUAAUGUAAAAUAAUUCAUCC
rnacentral:lncRNA from 1 species